UACAGAGGUCCCGAGCGUUGUUCGGAUUCAUUGGGCGUAAAGGGUGCGUAGGCGGCGGGGAAAGUCUGAUGUGAAAUCCUGGGGCCCAACCCUGGAACUGCAUUGGAUACUUCCUUGCUAGAGUACUGGAGAGGAAACUGGAAUUUACGGUGUAGCAGUGAAAUGCGUAGAGAUCGUAAGGAAGACCAGUGGCGAAGGCGAGUUUCUGGACAGUUACUGACGCUGAGGCACGAAGGCCAGGGGAGCAAACGGG
rnacentral:rRNA from 1 species